GGUGAACGCUGGCGGCGUGCUUAACACAUGCAAGUCGAACGAUGAAGCCGGAGCUUGCUCCGGUGGAUUAGUGGCGAACGGGUGAGUAACACGUGAGCAAUCUGCCCUUGACUCUGGGAUAACUGCGGGAAACUGUAGCUAAUACCGGAUACGACACCUUGGGGCAUCCCAGGGUGUGGAAAGAAUUUCGGUCAAGGAUGAGCUCGCGGCCUAUCAGCUAGUUGGUGAGGUAAUGGCUCACCAAGGCGACGACGGGUAGCCGGCCUGAGAGGGUGACCGGCCACACUGGAACUGAGACACGGUCCAGACUCCUACGGGAGGCAGCAGUGGGGAAUAUUGCACAAUGGGCGAAAGCCUGAUGCAGCAACGCCGCGUGAGGGAUGAAGGCCUUCGGGUUGUAAACCUCUUUUAGCAGGGAAGAAGCGAAAGUGACGGUACCUGCAGAAAAAGCACCGGCUAACUACGUGCCAGCAGCCGCCGUAA
rnacentral:rRNA from 1 species